rfam:Octopus bimaculoides Scaffold72853_contig_44, whole genome shotgun sequence.
GGCGUUGGACAGGGGAUCACUCGGCUCGUCCAUCAAUGAAGAGUGCGGCUAUCCACGUGAACUGAUGCGAAUUGCAGGACUCAGUGAACAUCAACACCUCGAAUGCACAAAUGCUGCCAAGGUGGACAUUGACUUUCAUCCAUUUGGGAUCA